rnacentral:rRNA from 1 species
GAUCCUGGCUCAGAUUGAACGCUGGCGGCAGGCUUAACACAUGCAAGUCGAGCGGGCGAGGUUGCUUCGGUAACUGAGCUAGCGGCGGACGGGUGAGUAAUGCUUAGGAAUCUGCCUAUUAGUGGGGGACAACAUUCCGAAAGGAAUGCUAAUACCGCAUACGCCCUACGGGGGAAAGCAGGGGAUCUUCGGACCUUGCGCUAAUAGAUGAGCCUAAGUCAGAUUAGCUAGUUGGUGGGGUAAAGG